rnacentral:rRNA from 1 species
GACGAACGCUGGCGGCGUGCCUAAUACAUGCAAGUUGAGCGAUGAAGCUUGGUGCUUGCACCAAUUUGAAGAGCAGCGAACGGGUGAGUAACGCGUGGGGAAUCUGCCUUUGAGCGGGGGACAACAUUUGGAAACGAAUGCUAAUACCGCAUACCAACUUUAAACAUAAGUUUUAAGUUUGAAAGAUGCAAUUGCAUCACUCAAAGACGACCCCGCGUUGUAUUAGCUAGUUGGUGAGGUAAAGGCCUACCAGGGCGAUGAUACAUAGCCGACCUGAGAGGGGGAUCGGCCACAUUGGGACUGGGACACGGCCCAAACGCCUACGGGAGGCAGCAGAAGGGAAUCUUCGGCAAUGGACGAAAGUCUGACCGAACAACGCCGCGUGAGUGAAGGAGGUUUUCGGAUCGUAAAACUCUGUUGGUAGAGAAGAACGUUGGUGGGAGUGGAAAGCGCAUCAAGUGACGGUAACUACCCAGAAAGCGACGGCUAACUACGUG